rnacentral:lncRNA from 1 species
GUGGUUCAAAAAGGAAAAUCAAAGGAGCUGCAGGAUCCAGGUUUUGGGAAAGCUUUCCAGUUCCAGGUUCCAUCUGAAGUCCCAAUAUUUGGGAAAUCCAUUGGAGGAGCUGGCGGACCUGUUCAGAGUGUUGUAAAUUAGUUCCAGUCUCCACGAGCCUGCUGUGACUAAUUGAUGUGACCUGGAAGUGGAUAAAGUCCAUAACAAUUUCUGCUGAUUUGUAGAGCAGGUGCCUUUAUUUAUUAAUGCCAGAAGAAGGGAAAGAUUCAAGAGCACCAACAAAAACAGAAUUCCUGGCAACAGCUGUAUAUCAAAGCCAUUCUUUAUCCAGUUACCUUGCUAAGGGGCUGCUGGAAUGGGAUCUGUGCAGUGGAAGCUCCUGGAAACUCCACGUUGCUGCCUAAUGAAUUUUUUAAGAAGAAUUUUAGGCAGCCACUCUAAGCACUGUACUGAUUAACAGCCCAGAGGAUCUGGUGCUUUCUCUUCUCCUGGCUUUUCUCCACUCCUGCUCUCGGAGCUGCCCUGAAGUCUCGCUCCGAGGCCCGGCUGCUGCUGCUGUGCUGACGGCCCUGCUCCAGAGCACACCUCCAAACACACCAUUCCCUGCCCCAUCCAAAACUUUGGCUUCCAGACAAACACAAAGGAACACGGCUCCAAACACCAGGAUCAAUCCCCUCAAUAAAAUUUCAUGCAUUUUCA